UUCCGGUUGAUCCUGCCGGAGGCCAUUGCUAUCGGUGUCCGAUUUAGCCAUGCGAGUUGUACGUCUAACGUAGCAAACUGCUCAGUAACACGUGGCCAAACUGCCCUAUGGACCGGAAUAACCUCGGGAAACUGAGGCUAAUUCCGGAUAGUACAUCCAGCCUGGAACUGGCGGAUGUGUGAAAUGCUCCGGCGCCAUAGGAUGUGGCUGCGGCCGAUUAGGUAGACGGUGGGGUAACGGCCCACCGUGCCGAUAAUCGGUACGGGUCAUGAGAGUGAGAGCCCGGAGACGGACUCUGAGACACGAGUCCGGGCCCUACGGGGCGCAGCAGGCGCGAAACCUUUACACUGCACGCCAGUGCGAUAGGGGGACACCGAGUGCGAGGGCAUAGAGCCCUCGCUUUUCUGGACCGUAAGGUGGUCCAGGAACAAGGGCUGGGCAAGACCGGUGCCAGCCGCCGCGGUAACACCGGCAGCCCAAGUGAUGGCCGAUAUUAUUGGGCCUAAAGCGUCCGUAGCUGGCCGAGCAAGUUCGUCGGGAAAUCCACUCGCUCAACGAGUGGGCGUCCGGCGAAAACUGUUCGGCUUGGGACCGGAAGAUCCGAGGGGUACGUCUGGGGUAGGAGUGAAAUCCCGUAAUCCUGGACGGACCACCGAUGGCGAAAGCACCUCGGAAGGACGGAUCCGACAGUGAGGGACGAAAGCUAGGGUCUCGAACCGGAUUAGAUACCCGGGUAGUCCUAGCCGUAAACGAUGCUCGCUAGGUGUGGCACAGGCUACGAGCCUGUGCUGUGCCGUAGGGAAGCCGUGAAGCGAGCCGCCUGGGAAGUACGUCUGCAAGGAUGAAACUUAAAGGAAUUGGCGGGGGAGCACUACAACCGGAGGAGCCUGCGGUUUAAUUGGAUUCAACGCCGG
rnacentral:rRNA from 1 species